GAUGAACGCUGGCGGCGUGCCUAAUACAUGCGAGUCGAGCGAACGGACGAGAAGCUUGCUUCUCUGAUGUUAGCGGCGGACGGGUGAGUAACACGUGGAUAACCUACCUAUAAGACUGGGAUAACUUCGGGAAACCGGAGCUAAUACCGGAUAAUAUUUUGAACCGCAUAGUUCAAAAGUGAAAGACGGUCUUGCUGUCACUUAUAGAUGGAUCCGCGCUGCAUUAGCUAGUUGGUAAGGUAACGGCUUACCAAGGCAACGAUGCAUAGCCGACCUGAGAGGGGGAUCGGCCACACUGGAACUGAGACACGGUCCAUACUCCUACGGGAGGCAGCAGUAGGGAAUCUUCCGCAAUGGGCGAAAGCCUGACGGAGCAACGCCGCGUGAGUGAUGAAGGUCUUCGGAUCGUAAAACUCUGUUAUUAGGGAAGAACAUAUGUGUAAGUAACUGUGCACAUCUUGACGGUACCUAAUCAGAAAGCCACGGCUAACUACGUG
rnacentral:rRNA from 1 species